CAUAGCCAGGGUAAGGGGAGGAACAGUCGGAAGAGCAAAGAAGGGACCAGAACUUAAACUUGGAGACAUAACCAUCGUCAAGGAUGCGAUUACGCCUGGAAGUUACUUCGGAAACGAGAUUCCUGAUAGCAUAGCGAUCAUCAAAUGUCACCAGGACGAAGUGU
rnacentral:sRNA from 1 species